UUAGAUGGUCAAGCUAAAUGUGCUUCACUGAAUGAUUGUAACUUUUUGAAAGAUGGUGAAGGGCUAGACAGUAUUUGGGUGGGGAGAAUUAUUCUUUGACUUACCUGGUUGACUACUGGUUCUAGGAGGACCAGUAUGACCAUUUGGAUGCCGGUGACAUGACAAAAGUGGAAAAAAGCACGAAUGAGGCCAUGGAGUGAAUGAAUAACAAGCUGAAUCUGCAGAAAAAGCAGAGCCUGACCGUGGAGCCAGUUGUCAAGGGAAGAGAUACAGAAGCUAAAAUUAAGGAGCUGACAAAUAUCUGUAGCCCUAUAAUUUCAAAGCCAAAACCCAAAGAGGAACCUCCAAAAGAGGAGUAAAAAAAUGCAGAGCAGAAUGGACCCGUGGAUGGACAGGGAGACAGCCCGGGCCCUCGGGCUGCGGAGCAGGAUGCAGACGCAGCUGUGCCUUCAGAUCCAGACAAGAAGCUUCCUGAGAUGGACAUUGAUUGAUUCCAGCUAUUGUUUAUAUUAAAACAGACUAUUAUAAAGCU